AGUAUGGGCCUGUUUUGCCUAACUUCUAAAAAAGUGAUUUCUGCAUAAAUGAUUUUGGUUUGAAAAAUUGAUCUUGGUGAAAAGCUAUAGAGCGGUUGACAGAGUUUAGGUAAAAGUGAUUUUUCUGAAGUGAUUUUUUAAAACUGUUCGGCAAAAAAAAUUUUAAUGCUUGCAUAAAUUAAUAUUUUUACUAAAUUUUAUUUUAAAAUAAUUUAANAAAUUUGAAAUAUACAGUGCCAGUAUUUUAUUGAUACGAGAUGGUACGGUAAAUAUAGUCCGCACCGAUGAACACUUAAAUCUUAAUAUGAUGGUUUAUUGUUAUUAACUCUAAAACUAAGUCAAAUUAUGCUCCAAUUAGUCAUAGAUCGAAUCAAAAUGGUUGAAUUUGCUCAUAUUUUAGAUUCCUUCCCAAUAUCCAAUCCAGAAAUAGUCGUCUACUUAACACAACAAACCAGUAUGGGCCUGUUUUGCCUAACUUCUAAAAAAGUGAUUUCUGCAUAAAUGAUUUUGGUUUGAAAAAUUGAUCUUGGUGAAAAGCUAUAGAGCGGUUGACAGAGUUUAGGUAAAAGUGAUUUUCUAAAACUGUUUGGCAAAAAAAAUUUUAAUGCUUGCAUAAAUUAAUAUUUUUACUAAAUUUUAUUUUAAAAUAAUUUAAAAUUUAAAUUUAAAUAAAAAAUUUAAAUUUGAAUUAAAAGUAUAAUUUUUAAAUUUCAAAUUUGUACAAAAAAUAAAUUUGAAAUUUCAAAAUUUUAUAUUUAAAAUUUGAAUUUUUAAAUCUAAAUUUAACUUUUCAAUAUGAAUUUAAAUUUUGAAUUUCAAAUUUAAAAUCUAAAUUUCAAAUUUCAAAUUUC
rnacentral:lncRNA from 1 species